GAACCUUGUAGAGAUACGAGGGUGCCUUCGGGAACUGUGAGACAGGUGCUGCAUGGCUGUCGUCAGCUCGUGUUGUGAAAUGUUGGGUUAAGUCCCGCAACGAGCGCAACCCUUAUCCUUUGUUGCCAGCGGUCCGGCCGGGAACUCAAAGGAGACUGCCAGUGAUAAACUGGAGGAAGGUGGGGAUGACGUCAAGUCAUCAUGGCCCUUACGACCAGGGCUACACACGUGCUACAAUGGCGCAUACAAAGAGAAGCGACCUCGCGAGAGCAAGCGGACCUCAUAAAGUGCGUCGUAGUCCGGAUUGGAGUCUGCAACUCGACUCCAUGAAGUCGGAAUCGCUAGUAAUCGUGGAUCAGAAUGCCACGGUGAAUACGUUCCCGGGCCUUGUACACACCGCCCGUCACACCAUGGGAGUGGGUUGCAAAAGAAGUAGGUAGCUUAACCUUCGGGAGGGCGCUUACCACUUUGUGAUUCAUGACUGGGGUGAAGUCGUAACAAGGUAACCGUAGGGGAACCUGCGGUUGGAUCACCUCCUUACCUUAAA
rnacentral:rRNA from 1 species